rnacentral:rRNA from 1 species
GACGAACGCUGGCGGCGUGCCUAAUACAUGCAAGUAGAACGCUGAAGGAGGAGCUUGCUUCUCUGGAUGAGUUGCGAACGGGUGAGUAACGCGUAGGUAACCUGCCUGGUAGCGGGGGAUAACUAUUGGAAACGAUAGCUAAUACCGCAUAAGAGUAGAUGUUGCAUGACAUUUGCUUAAAAGGUGCAAUUGCAUCACUACCAGAUGGACCUGCGUUGUAUUAGCUAGUUGGUGGGGUAACGGCUUACCAAGGCGACGAUACAUAGCCGACCUGGGAGGGUGAUCGGCCACACUGGGACUGGGACACGGCCCAGACUCCUACGGGAGGCAGCAGUAGGGAAUCUUCGGCAAUGGACGGAAGUCUGACCGGGCAACGCCGCGUGAGUGAAGAAGGUUUUCGGAUCGUAAAGCUCUGUUGUAAGAGAAGAACGAGUGUGAGAGUGGAAAGUUCACACGGUGACGGUAUCUUACCAGAAAGGGACGGCUAACUACGUG